UGAACGCUAGCUACAGGCUUAACACAUGCAAGUCGAGGGGUCUCAACGGAGCUUGCUUCAGCGAGACGACCGGCGCACGGGUGAGUAACGCGUAUCCAACCUGCCCUUCAUAUUGGGAUAGCCUCUCGAAAGGGAGAUUAAUACCGAAUAACAUGAGAAAGUUGCCUGAUUUUCUCAUGAAAGCUCCGGCGAUGAAGGAUGGGGAUGCGUUCCAUUAGGUAGUAGGCGGGGUAACGGCCCACCUAGCCUACGAUGGAUAGGGGUUCUGAGAGGAAGGUCCCCCACACUGGAACUGAGACACGGUCCAGACUCCUACGGGAGGCAGCAGUGAGGAAUAUUGGUCAAUGGUCUGACGACUGAACCAGCCAUGCCGCGUGAAGGUGACGGCCCUAUGGGUCUUAAACUUCUUUUGCAAGGGAGCAAUAAGGCGCACGUGUGCGUCGAUGAGAGUACCUUGCGAAUAAGCAUCGGCUAACUCCGUG
rnacentral:rRNA from 1 species